UACAGAGGUCUCAAGCGUUGUUCGGAUUCAUUGGGCGUAAAGGGUGCGUAGGCGGCGCGGUAAGUCGGGUGUGAAAUCUCGGAGCUUAACUCCGAAACUGCAUUUGAUACUGGCGUGCUUGAGGACUGGAGAGGAGACUGGAAUUCACGGUGUAGCAGUGAAAUGCGUAGAUAUCUGGAGGAACACCGGUGGCGAAGGCGGCAUCCUGGACCAACACUGACGCUGAGUGAGCGAAAGCCAGGGGAGCAAACGGG
rnacentral:rRNA from 1 species